rnacentral:lncRNA from 1 species
AAGGAACCGAGAUGAAAGAAAGCAAUCAGGAGAUCCGGACGGCCGCGCCCUUGAGGCGGGGUGGCCUCGACCCAGCGGGGGGCGGCCUGGGCCCGGGCUUCCUCCACCCCAACCAGCCCUGAGCGGGGCCAGCGACCCCUCCCCACCUCCUUGGCUGUCCCUCCCCACUGUUCCGGCUGCCACUUGGCUCGGGAACCCCCUGGGCUCACAUGCCGAGGGACCACCCCCCCACCUCAGCCUCACUUUUGCAUGUGCGGGAUCUGAGGGACCUAACCCCCGGCUCCCUGGGCCCUAGCUGCUCCUGCGUCCUGGCCCUGACUGUCCAAAUCCAGUGGUCUGUCCGUGCCCACCCAAAGCUCCAUUCCUCUGUGGCCUCUAAUUCUCCCCCAGCCCCUCCAGAUCCCUGCCCUCUUCAUCUGCCUCAGUUUCAUCCAGUCCUGGAAACAGUCAGGUCUGUUCUUUAGUCGGGGAAAGAAAUGGUGGCAGCCGGGAGCACUGGGAUUGUCUAGAGAGGUGCAGGUGGGGACAGCAGGGAAGGCCCCUUUGCAGAGGUGCCAGGAGCCCCAGGAUAGGGCGUCAAGGAGCCAGGGUGGAUGCAUUGAAGGAGCUGACCAGGGACCUGGGCAGCUGAGAGUGAGGAGGGAGGGGACAGAUGGGAGAGGUGGCAGAGUCCAGGGCUUCCAGGGACUGAGGACCACUCACUCCGGGCAUCUGAAGUGCGGGUGCCAUGAUGGGACUUGUGUUUGUGGUGAGCAUUGACGCCUCUUGGGGAGGAGGACAGGAGCGAAAAGUGGCUGGGAGUGGGUUCAAAAGCCAGCCACUGUGGGGGGUGCAGGUGGCAGACAUCUACGACUGGCGCCAACGUGGAGGCAGUGCAGAGGGACAGGCGUGGGCAAUACCAGAUGGAGCUGGAGGUGGACGAUGAGAUCCGAGGUGGGAGUGGGGAGUGCUAAGCAUUGCCCACCAGCUGAGCCUUGAGCAGCUCUAGAGUCAGGUGAGCGCUGCACAGGUGAGUGAGUGUGGCAUCUACCUGGACAGACAGGUGUGUGUUUACCCAGGUGAGUAGGUG